rnacentral:tRNA from 1 species
GCGGGCAUAACUCAACGGUAGAGUGUAACCUUCCCAAGGUUAAAGCUGCGGGUUCAAUUCCCGUUGCCCGCUCCA